CCUACGGGGGGCAGCAGUGGGGGAUAUUGCACAAUGGGGGAAACCCUGAUGCAGCGACGCCGCGUGGGUGAAGAAGCGCCUCGGCGCGUAAAGCCCUGUCAGCAGGGAAGAAAAUGACGGUACCUGAAGAAGAAGCCCCGGCUAACUACGUGCCAGCAGCCGCGGUAAUACGUAGGGGGCAAGCGUUAUCCGGAUUUACUGGGUGUAAAGGGGGCGCAGACGGCGAUGCAAGCCAGGAGUGAAAGCCCGGGGCUCAACCCCCGAACUGCAUUUGAAACUGUUGGUCUUGAGUAUCGGAGAGGCAGGCGGAAUUCCUAGUGUAGCGGUGAAAUGCGUAGAUAUUAGGAGGAACACCAGUGGCGAAGGCGGCCUGCUGGACGACAACUGACGGUGAGGCGCGAAAGCGUGGGGAGCAAACAGGAUUAGAUACCCGUGUAGUC
rnacentral:rRNA from 1 species